GCUGUGUCUAAAAACUUAGUUUAAACUAACUUAAAGGUGAAGAGGCCUUUAUAAGAAAGAAGGACGACAAGACCCUAUGAAGCUUUAUCUUAUUAGGGAUUUGAAAGAUCCUUAUACGAUUUUGAUGGGAGAUCAGUAAAAAUAAGUCUUUUACCAUUAUUUUUAUCUUACAAGUGUUUCCUAAUUUUAUAUGUGUGACUAGCUACUCUAGGGAUAACAGCGCAAUUUCUCCCGAAAGAUGGUAUUGGAGGGGAAGAUUGCGACCUCGAUGUUGGC
rnacentral:rRNA from 1 species